GACGUAGGGUGCAAGCGUUGUCCGGAUUUAUUGGGCGUAAAGAGCUCGUAGGCGGCUUGUUGCGUCGACUGUGAAAACCCGCGGCUUAACCGCGGGCUUGCAGUUGAUACGGGCAGGCUAGAGUUCGGUAGGGGAGACUGGAAUUCCUGGUGUAGCGGUGAAAUGCGCAGAUAUCGGGAGGAACACCGGUGGCGAAGGCGGUUCUCUGGGCCCUACCUGACGCUGAGGAGCGAAAGCGUGGGGAGCGAACAGG
rnacentral:rRNA from 1 species